AUACGGAGGAUCCGAGCGUUAUCCGGAUUUAUUGGGUUUAAAGGGUGCGCAGGCGGGAGAUUAAGUCGGCGGUGAAAUUUUGCAGCUCAACUGUAAAAGUGCCUUCGAAACUGGUUUCCUUGAGUGUAGAUGAAGUAGGCGGAAUUUGUGGUGUAGCGGUGAAAUGCAUAGAUAUCACGAGGAACUCCGAUUGCGCAGGCAGCUUACUAAACUACUACUGACGCUCAGGCACGAAGGCGUGGGGAUCAAACAGGAUUAGAUACCCUGGUAGUCCACGCAGUAAACGAUGAUCACUAGCUGUUUGCGAUACAAUGUAAGCGGCUGAGCGAAAGCGUUAAGUAAUCCACCUGGGGAGUACGUUCGCAAGAAUGAAACUCAAAGGAAUUGACGGGG
rnacentral:rRNA from 1 species